CAGAGGAGCCUGGCAGGCUACAGUCCAUGGGGUCACAAGAGUCAGAAUUCAAAGUGAGAAGGAAAGCAAGCACCUAAGCAUGGGGGUGAUGAGUGGGAGAGUCAAUCAGAUGAGAGUCGGAAUGGGCCUAGAACUGGCUCUGCUCCUGAUAAGCUGUGUGACUCUGGAUGAAUCCACUGACCCCUCUGUGCUUCACAUCCUUAUCUGUGGAUGGAGAUCACACGCCCUCAUUCUCAGAGCAAUCAUCAGAACUGAAAACAAGCUACGCUCCAGGCCCAGUGCACGUAGCAGAGACCCUGAUAGCUGAGCCUCUGCACAUACACGCAAGGAAGAAGUGGUAACGAGUCGAUUCUAGGUAACAACAGAAAAGGCCCUAGGCUGUGGUGCAAGAAGCCCAAAGAUGAGAGCGGCCAGGACGGAGGGUCCCCAGCACUUACUGCAGUUCUCUUCGUCGCUGCCGUCUGGACAAUCCUCAAACCCGUUACACCGGAAGCGGCCGAUGAUGCAGUGGACGCCGCUGGCACACGGGAAGAAGGUCGGGCCGCAUUUCGACUUAGCCUUGGCUGCAAGAGGACAAACGAGAUAAACAAGCGAGACGUCAGGAGGAUAAGUUUUCUCAGCACCGUAUACCCGAGCUGCUAACUUGUAGGGUGCAACAGGGUCCUUUCACAUCUACCUUGACAUUCCCAGAGUUUCUUACCACCAGCACCCACCUCCAAAACCCAGCCAGGAUGGAAACCCCCAUGCAUCAUCCUCCAGGAAGGGGGUGACUCAAACACUGCUACCAAAGUCCCAAGGAGCCCAGACACCACCCCUGAGCCAGCGAGGCGCAAUCAAAAUGUGCCGAACAAAGGAAUGAAUGGGUGAGUAGAUGGAUGAUGGAUGGAGCUUGCUCUAAGGAGCUGAGGAACCACUCAGAAUUCAUAUCCUGACUCUCACAGUAAUCGUCUACACUUGCUGAGUGUUUACUAACCAGCCAGUGUGCCCAGAGCUCUACAUCAUCUCAUUUAUCCACCCAGCAACCACCCUAUAGGCCGGUGAGCAGAAAAGAGCUAUUAACCUAAGAGGCCUGAGGCUGCCACCCUGAGAAAGGCUUGCUUGCAAAGCUGGCCCUCGCUUGGUUGGCAUCUGGGAACUGGCAUUGCGGGAAGGUUCGCAUCAGUUUCUCCUGAGGAUGGCUCACUGUUCAUGCAAACUAUUCGUGCAAACAGUGCAUUUAUGCUGAACCCCUGCCUUUCUUCUGGGGGUUGGGAUUUUGAUACAUGUUGGCAGAGGGUGCCUGCAUGACCAGACCCCAGUAGAAACCCUGGGCACUGAGUCUCUAAUGAGCUUCCUGGAGAGAAAACAUGCCAUAUGUCAUAUUACACUUGUUGCUGGGGGGAUUCAGUGCCUCCUAUGUGACUGCCUUGGGAAAGGACUCUGAGAUCCUGGCUUGUUGUCCUCUGACUUCACUCUUUCACCAGUUCCCUUUGUUGGCUUCGCUUUGUCUCCUUUUGCUGUAAUAAAACACAGUACGACUGUGUGCUGAGUUCUCUGGUUCCUUCUGACAAAUCAUAGAAACUGAACGUGGUCACGGAAAGCCCCUGACAAAGACAGGUCAUAUCACAUCACAGAAAUGCUCUGAAGAGGUGAAGUGACUUGCCCAGGGUUACACGGCUCGAAAAUCUGAUGCAGGUGUGAGACCCCUGGCACUCCGAACCCAGAAGCCACGCUCUCAACCAACUCCGCUGUACUGCCCCUCUGCCAGCGGCUGUCACUUCUCACAACAGAAGCCAGACUCCUGCCCAAAGAAAUCCUUCUUCCACUCCUGCUGCACAAACAGUUUUAACAGAAACUGCUGUGACUCAGGCUUGAUGGAGUGUCCUGCUAACCAAACAGCCCUGCGGGGCAACGCGCUUUCCCAUCAGCGGGGCUGGCUGCUGUGGCUUGCGAUUACGAGAUAAGAAAACUGAGGCCCAGAAAUGAAGGUGCCUGAUACCGCUGAUCAACAGCGUCAAGGCUCAAACUUUAAUUAUCGAUUCAUGUAUGAAUGUGAGAGUUGGACCAUAAAGAAAGCUGAGCGCCGAAGAAUUGGUGCUUUUGAACUAUGGUGUUGAAGAAGAUUCUUUGAGAGUCUGUUGGACUGCAAGGAGAUCAAACCAGU